rnacentral:rRNA from 1 species
UACAGAGGGUGCAAGCGUUGUUCGGAAUUACUGGGCGUAAAGCGCGUGUAGGCGGCUUGUUAAGUUCCGUGUGAAAGCCCUGGGCUUAACCCAGGAAGUGCGCGGGAAACUGGCGAGCUGGAGUGCUGGAGAGGAUGGCGGAAUUCCCGGUGUAGAGGUGAAAUUCGUAGAUAUCGGGAGGAACACCUGUGGCGAAGGCGGCCAUCUGGACAGUCACUGACGCUGAGACGCGAAAGCGUGGGUAGCAAAC